rnacentral:rRNA from 1 species
UACAGAGGUCUCAAGCGUUGUUCGGAUUCAUUGGGCGUAAAGGGUGCGUAGGCGGCGCGGUAAGUCGGGUGUGAAAUUUCGAGGCUUAACUUCGAAACUGCAUUCGAUACUGCCGUGCUUGAGGACUGGAGAGGAGACUGGAAUUUACGGUGUAGCGGUGAAAUGCGUAGAUAUCGUAAGGAAGACCAGUGGCGAAGGCGGGUCUCUGGACAGUUCCUGACGCUGAGGCACGAAAGGCCAGGGGGAGCAAAACGGG